UGGCAGUGAUGAUUGAGAAUGUCAUGCACCACUCUGAUUUCGUGCUGAUAACUAUCUCUACCCAUAUUAUAUCUGAGCCU
rnacentral:snoRNA from 14 species